rnacentral:rRNA from 1 species
UCGAGAGGCUUCGGCAAUGGGGGAAACCCUGACCGAGCGACGCCGCGUGGGUGAUGAAGAUUCUCGGAUCGUAAAACCCUGUCAGGUGGGAUGAAAAACCAUUCGGUUAAUACCCGAGUGGCUUGACAGUACCACCAGAGGAAGCUCCGGCCAACUCCGUGCCAGCAGCCGCGGUAACACGGGGGGAGCAAGCGUUGUUCGGAUUCAUUGGGCGUAAAGAGCUCGUAGGCCGCUCUGUAAGUCGGAAGUGAAAGACCACGGCUCAACCGUGGAAACGCUUUCGAAACUGUGGAGCUUGAGGCCGGGAGAGGAGAUCGGAAUUCCUGGUGUAGCGGUGAAAUGCGUAGAUAUCUGGAGGAACACCGGUGGCGAAGGCGGCGUUCUGGACUGCAACUGACACUGAAGAACGAAAGCCAGGGUAGCAAACGGGAUUAGAUACCCAGGUAGUCCCUGAGCGGGCUGGCAAGGCGCAU